UGAGAACUGAAUUCCAUGGGU
rnacentral:ncRNA from 4 species